AUUGAACGCUGGCGGCAGGCCUAACACAUGCAAGUCGAACGAGUGGCGGACGGGUGAGUAAUGUCUGGGAAACUGCCUGAUGGAGGGGGAUAACUACUGGAACCGGUAGCUAAUACCGCAUACCAUCGGAUGUUCCCAGAUGGGAUUAGCUAGUAGGUGGGGUAACGGUGGACCUAGGCGACGAUCCCUAGCUGGUCUGCGAGGAUGACCGGCCAAACUGGAACUGAGACACGGUCCAGACUCCUACGGGAGGCAGCAGUGGGGAAUAUUGCACAAUGGGCGCAAGCCUGAUGCAGCGAUGCCGCGUGUAUGAAGAAGGCCUUCGGGUUGUAAAGUACUUUCAGCGGGGAGGCGUUACCCGCAGAAGAAGCACCGGCUAACUACGUGCCAGCAGCCGCGGUAAUUC
rnacentral:rRNA from 1 species